GGUGGAAUACCAAAUAUUUUAAAAAGGAUAAUUUCCGCCUAUGGAUGUACCUAUUGAAUAGAUUAGGUAGUUGGUAAGGUAAUGGCUUACCAAGCCAAUGAUCUAUAGUUGGUCUGAGAGGACGAUCAACCACAGUGGGAAUGAGAAAGGCCCACACGAUACUUUAUCGGCAGCAGUGCGGAAUCUUGGUCAAUGGCCGAAAGGCUGAACCAGUCACCUAGAAGGACGGAUACAUUAAUUUGAUAAAGUCCUAACGGAAAGGAGGAUAAUGACUGUACUUUCCUAUUAAUCCCGACCAAUCUCGUGCCAGCAGUCGCGGUAAUACGAGAGGGGUAAGCAUUAUUCAUCAUAAAUGGGUCUAAAGGGUACGUAGGCUGUAUCAUAAGACUGGAUGGUAUCGAACUAAAUGAAUAAGAGCUUUCCAGUAACUAUGAAACUAGAGUGUAAUGGAGGAAAGAGGAACUCCGAGAGUAGGGAUGGAAUCUGUUGAUCCUCGGAAGACCGCUUAAGGCGAAGGCUUCUUUCUAACUAAACACUGACGCUGAGGUACGAAAGUAUGGGGAGCAAAACGGAUUAGAGACCCGUGUAGUCCAUACCGUAAACGAUGAGUGCCUUAGAUUGGUUAUUAAAUCAGUCUAUAAAUGUAGAUUAAAGCACUCCACCUGGGGAGUACUGCCGCAAGGUUGAAACCCAAAAGUAUAGAGGGUCUUGAAAACCAGCAGUGAAGCAUGUUGUUUAAUGUGAUGAUCCGCACAACAUCUUACCACUCCUUGAAUGUAACACAGGCGUUGCAUGGCUGUCUUCAGUUCGUGUCGUGAGAUGUAAGGUUAAGUCCGCAUAACGAACAAAACCCUUGCAAUUAGUUAAUUUCUAAUUGAGCAUCCAGUGACAAACUGGAAUAA
rnacentral:rRNA from 1 species